rnacentral:lncRNA from 1 species
AGAGUGUAGGAGUUAGGCUAGUGUAAAUGGCAGAACCUGGCUUUUAAAUCUAAAGAAGAGGAACUUGGAGUGACUUUUGGGAAUAAUCCUGUGGACUAGUGUGCAAGGUGGAAUUAAGCUUUUGUGGACUUUACACUUGGCCAGGGAAAGAACAGUCUGAGGUGACAGCAGAGGGCAACAGUGAGGUGAGAGCAGUCCGGAUGGCAGGCAGCUGGGGUCUUGCCUGCCCUGGAUGCUCACUCUAGGAGCCCAACGGGCCACAGUUCACCUGCAGACAGUGCACAGGUGAGAGGCAACUUUAUCAUCAUGGGUUGCAGUUUUAAAUGAAACUUAUACAAACAACAUAUUUCAGUUUUUCAUUUUUUUAAAGAAUAUUUUCUAACAUAAAACAAGUCAAAUUAAAAUAAUUAAUUUUGAGUUUCAGUGCUUAGAAAUAAAAAUAUCACAGAUAACUAAAUUUCAAUGUAGGGUUUAUAAUUCAGUAA